CGCCACGGAGCUUGGUCCCAAACUAUACUGUACUUCACACUCGAUUUAUUCUCCAGAUGGCAAGACUACGCAGCCCUGCCGGGAGGGGCCACCUCUUCCACUGAAGUGUGAAAGUGGACGGAUGUUGUUUUCGGAUCCUCUGUGAUCAGCUCCGAGCUCCCUCAAACCACCCGGCCCUCUGUGGUGAAGACAGUACUUUUGACACAAUGGCUUCUUUUUUUUUCUUUUUUGGCAGGAUGCAGCUCGGAAAACUAUCCCAAAGAUGUUGGCUGAGCUUGAUUAGGCCAUGCCUAAAAAAGAUUUAAAAGCACCAUAAAAAAGUUACCCCCCCCCCCCACCCAAGUCUUCCUUAACCAUGACAACCAUGACAGAGUAAAAGCAUCAAUGAAAAGCAUCAAAAUUCAAAAUGAAAUUUUCAAUUGUACAAAUCUGUUCAAAAGUGUAGUAUGAUUUUUUUAAGUAAUUAUUCAGCAAGGAUGCAAUAAAUUGAUCAAAAGUAAAGACA
ensembl:lncRNA